rnacentral:rRNA from 1 species
UACGGAGGAUCCAAGCGUUAUCCGGAUUCAUUGGGUUUAAAGGGUGCGUAGGCGGACUGAUAAGUCAGCGGUGAAAUCCCACGGCUCAACUGUGGAACUGCCGUUGAUACUGUCAGUCUUGAGUACAGAUGAUGUGGGCGGAAUAUGACAUGUAGUGGUGAAAUACUUAGAUAUGUCAUAGAACACCGAUUGCGAAGGCAGCUCACAAAACUGUCACUGACGCUGAGGCACGAAAGCGUGGGGAUCAAACAGG